AGUGAACGCUGGCGGUAGGCCUAACACAUGCAAGUCGAACGGCAGCACAGUAAGAGCUUGCUCUUACGGGUGGCGAGUGGCGGACGGGUGAGGAAUACAUCGGAAUCUACUUUUUCGUGGGGGAUAACGUAGGGAAACUUACGCUAAUACCGCAUACGACCUACGGGUGAAAGCAGGGGAUCUUCGGACCUUGCGUGAUUGAAUGAGCCGAUGUCGGAUUAGCUAGUUGGCGGGGUAAAGGCCCACCAAGGCGACGAUCCGUAGCUGGUCUGAGAGGAUGAUCAGCCACACUGGAACUGAGACACGGCCCAGACUCCUACGGGAGGCAGCAGUGGGGAAUAUUGGACAAUGGGCGCAAGCCUGAUCCAGCCAUACCGCGUGGGUGAAGAAGGCCUUCGGGUUGUAAAGCCCUUUUGUUGGGAAAGAAAAGCAGCAGGUUAAUACCCCGCUGUUCUGACGGUACCCAAAGAAUAAGCACCGGCUAACUUCGUG
rnacentral:rRNA from 1 species